CAAAGCAAGAGUGAAGUUGUUUUGCAAAGGUCUCCAACCUCAGAUGCAGUGAAGUUUCAUAUCAUGCGUUCACACUAUCAAGCGGCAGUCUGGAACCAAGCUCACCUGCCACAUCCUGAUCUUCCUCCAGUGGAUGAAAUGGGAUGGAUGCACAAGGAAGGUCAGUUAGUGCCACGGCUACUGUCUCUGCCACCUAUGCCUAAAGCCUGCAGAGAGUUCACUUCAUGUGGGUGUACCAAGGGAUGCCUCAGCCAAUGCUGCAGCUGCAGAAAGAGUCAAAUGGAAUGUAUAGAAGCAUUCAACUGCAGGAAACUUGACAACACUUGCCAGAACACUGAAGAAGACUGUGAAUAAGCUGUCACUGAAAAGUGACAUGGAACCUCCUGGAAUACUGAGGAUGACAGCAAAGAAGUUCAUGUAACUCCAGUGUCAAUACUGUAUAAUGACUGUAUAUGCAUGAUAUUCUAACAGUAAAUAUGCAAAACAAAAGAGUUAAAUGAAUAAAACCAUCACCUGUA